AGCGAACGCUGGCGGCAGGCUUAACACAUGCAAGUCGAGCGGGCACUUUCGGGUGUCAGCGGCGGAUGGGUGAGUAACGCGUGGGAACGUGCCUUCUGGUUCGGAAUAUCACAGGGAAAUUUGAGCUAAUACCGGAUACGCCUUUUUGGGGAAAGGCGUGCUGCCGGAGGAUCGGUUCGCGUCUGAUUAGCUUGUUGGUGAGGUAACGGCUCACCAAGGUGACGAUUAGUAGCUGGUCUGAGAGGAUGAUCAGCCAGACUGGGACUGCGACACGGCCCAGGCUCCUACGGGAGGCAGCAGUAGGGAAUAUUAUGCGAGGGGCGCAAACCUGAUCCAGCCAUGCCGCGUAAGUGGUGAAUGCCUUAGGGUUGUAAAGCUCUUUUAUCCGAGACGAUAAUGACGGUACCGGAGGAAUAAGCCCCGGCUAACUACGUG
rnacentral:rRNA from 1 species